UCUCAAGCCACUGUAGUACUGCUGGAAGACCUGGCGUCACACUUUGGAAUGCGCACACAGGAUGCAAUUGUGAGACUGCAGGACCUCUUAGCUGAUGGUGAACUCACAGGAGUGAUCAACGACAGAGGGAAGUUUAUCUCCAUCACGCCAGAGGAACUGAAAGCCGUGGCUCAGUUUAUCAAACAGUGAGGGAGGGUCUCUAUCAGUGAACUGGCCCAUUAUCUUGGUUGUUGUCAUUAUACUCAGUAUCUUAAACACGGCCAUAGUCACA